rnacentral:rRNA from 1 species
GACGAACGCUGGCGGCGUGCCUAAUACAUGCAAGUUGAGCGCUGAAGGUUGGUACUUGUACCAACUGGAUGAGCAGCGAACGGGUGAGUAACGCGUGGGGAAUCUGCCUUUGAGCGGGGGACAACAUUUGGAAACGAAUGCUAAUACCGCAUAAAAACUUUAAACACAAGUUUUAAGUUUGAAAGAUGCAAUUGCAUCACUCAAAGAUGAUCCCGCGUUGUAUUAGCUAGUUGGUGAGGUAAAGGCUCACCAAGGCGAUGAUACAUAGCCGACCUGAGAGGGUGAUCGGCCACAUUGGGACUGAGGCACGGCCCAAACUCCUACGGGAGGCAGCAGUAGGGAAUCUUCGGCAAUGGACGAAGGUCUGACCGAGCAACGCCGCGUGAGUGAAGAAGGGUUUCGGAUCGUAAAACUCUGUUGGUAGAGAAGAACGUUGGUGAGAGUGGAAAGCUCAUCAAGUGACGGUAACUACCCAGAAAGGGACGGCUAACUACGUG